rnacentral:rRNA from 1 species
UAGUCCACGCCGUAAACGAUGUCUACUAGCUGUUUGUGGUAUUUAUACCGUGAGUAGCGCAGCUAACGCACUAAGUAGACCGCCUGGGGAGUACGGCCGCAAGGUUAAAACUCAAAUGAAUUGACGGGGGCCCGCACAAGCGGUGGAGCAUGUGGUUUAAUUCGAUGCAACGCGAAAAACCUUACCAGGCCUUGACAUCCUGAGAACUUUCUAGUAGAUAGAUUGGUGCCUUCGGGAACUCAGUGACAGGUGUUGCAUGGCUGUCGUCAGCUCGUGUCGUGAGAUGUUGGGUUAAGUCCCGUAACGAGCGCAACCCUUAUCCUUAUUUGCCAGCACUUCGGGUGGGAACUUUAAGGAGACUGCCGGUGACAAACCGGAGGAGGGAGAGGAUGAUGUCAAGUCAUCAUGGCCCUUACGGCCUGGGCUACACACGUGCUACAAUGGUGCAUACAGAGGGCUGCAAACCCGCGAGGGGGAGCCGAAUCCCACAAAAUGCAUCGUAGUCCGGAUUG